rnacentral:rRNA from 1 species
UUUCUCAAUGGGGGAAACCCUGAAGGAGCGACGCCGCGUGGAGGAUGAAGGUCUUCGGGUUGUAAACUCCUGUCAUUUGGGAACAAGUGUCGGUACCUAACUGCUACCGGCUUGAUAGUACCAGAAGAGGAAGGGACGGCUAACUCUGUGCCAGCAGCCGCGGUAAUACAGAGGUCUCAAGCGUUGUUCGGAUUCAUUGGGCGUAAAGGGUGUGUAGGUGGCGCCGUAAGUCGGGUGUGAAAUUHCGGAGCUUAACUCCGAAACUGCAUUCGAUACUGCGGUGCUUGAGGACUGGAGAGGAGACUGGAAUUCAUGGUGUAGCAGUGAAAUGCGUAGAGAUCAUGAGGAAGACCAGUGGCGAAGGCGGGUCUCUGGACAGUUCCUGACACUGAGACACGAAGGCCAGGGGAGCAAACGGGAUUAGAUACCCCGGUAGUCCUGGCAGUAAACGGUGCACGUUUGGUGUGGGAGGAUUCGACCCCUUCUGCGCCGGAGCUAACGCGUUAAACGUGCCGCCUGGGGAGUACGGUCGCAAGAUUAAAACUCAAAGAAAUUGACGGGGGCCCGCACAAGCGGUGGAGUAUGUGGCUUAAUUCGAUGCAACGCGAAGAACCUUACCUGGCCUUGACAUGCAUCUCUAAGCUGGUGAAAGCCAGUGACUCCCGAAAGGGAGAAUUUGCACAGGUGCUGCAUGGCUGUCGUCAGCUCGUGUCGUGAGAUGUUGGGUUAAGUCCCGCAAUGAGCGCAACCCCUGUGAACUGUUGCCACCAAGCCGUGAGGCUUGAGCACUCUGUUCAGACUGCCCUGUGAAACGGGGAGGAAGGUGGGGACGACGUCAAGUCAGUAUGGCCCUUACGGCCAGGGCUGCACACGUACUACAAUGCCCAGUACAGAACGAUCCGAGACCGCGAGGUGGAGGUAAUCUAGUAAAACUGGGCCCAGUUCGGAUUGGAGUCUGCAACUCGACUCCAUGAAGCCGGAAUCGCU